rfam:Pteropus vampyrus cont1.99869, whole genome shotgun sequence.
UUCCUUUUAUCGUCAACCCGAAACCCCACGGCAGCUAAUGCAAGAGGCCAAAAAUAUUUGGGAGGAAGAAAAACAAAGGCAGGAAGUGGCGGCAGCCUGAUGGUGCGUGUGUCUGCGGAGAAGGGAGGGAGCCGUUUCAAUCUCUUCUUGUUUUUCCAAACUUCAAGGUUUAGGCAG